rnacentral:tRNA from 1 species
UGGGAUGUGGCUCAGUGGUAGAGUGCUUACCUAGCAUGCAUGAGGUACUGGGUUCCAUCCCUGGCACCACAU